GAUAAAAUCUGAAGGAGGAGUCAAAAGCUUUUUUCAGACUGUGAAAGAUGAUUGUGUUUUCCUACAGACUGCUAGGAGAAGAAUGUGGUCUUUGGACAAGGUCUGGUUAAAAUCUUUGUACCAGUGGGAGUUUUGGGAUUCCUGAAGAUAGUCACAUUCAUGGUUUGUCUCAAUACCAAAAUCAAAAAGGAGCUGGCUUAGUGCAGACAUCUACACACUUGAAAAUCUGCU
rnacentral:lncRNA from 1 species